UACAUUUCUUACAGAGUUGCUUGUGCUUUUAAUUUUUCCCUGUGGCCUUUGCAUACCUCCCAACAUUAGGAGAUAUCCAUUUGGUGGACACUAUGGAACUAUAGCGGGACAGAGCCCCGAUAUUGGGAGUGCCUUUUUUGAGUAUUUGUUCAUUCAAGAGCUUCAGUUUGAGAACACAGAUCCUCUCUCUUUAUCUGGCAUAUUCAGAAAUUGAGGAGAGGGAGUACCCAAC